GAUGAACGCUGGCGGCGUGCCUAAUACAUGCAAGUCGAGCGAACGGACGAGAAGCUUGCUUCUCUGAUGUUAGCGGCGGACGGGUGAGUAACACGUGGAUAACCUACCUAUAAGACUGGGAUAACUUCGGGAAACCGGAGCUAAUACCGGAUAAUAUUUUGAACCGCAUGGUUCAAAAGUAAAAGACGGUCUUGCUGCCACUUAUAGAUGGAUCCGCGCUGCAUUAGCUAGUUGGUAAGGUAACGGCUUACCAAGGCAACGAUGCAUAGCCGACCUGAGAGGGUGAUCGGCCACACUGGAACUGAGACACGGUCCAGACUCCUACGGGAGGCAGCAGUAGGGAAUCUUCCGCAAAGGGCGAAAGCCUGACGGAGCAACGCCGCGUGAGUGAUGAAGGUCUUCGGAUCGUAAAACUCUGUUAUCAGGGAAGAACAUAUGUGUAAGUAACUGUGCACAUCUUGACGGUACCUAAUCAGAAAGCCACGGCUAACUACGUG
rnacentral:rRNA from 1 species